UUGUCAAACCAAUUUUAAAAGUAGGAUACUGUUCCUUAAAUUGUGUGUGUAAAACUUUAAUAUCAGAAAGCGAUAGCCUUUUUUGAAAUUUUUCAGUUUGUCCAUUGACUUUAAUGGAAACAGUGUCCUUUUUGUUAGGCAUUAUGCGACUGUUUAGGUCGCUUUCAUAAUCAUCUCGAACUUUUUAAUCGUAUCAUCAGUUUUUUUGCUUUUUUAGUCUUUCCGAGGUAACAAAUUCUGAAGCAUUUUGUCGAAUAGUCCAACAUUCAGGAGCAAUUUUCAUAUUCAUCUGUGAAAGACGUGUCCCGUUCUUCAGUUGAAUCAUCUGUGGUACAAAAUUUCCGACAUUCAUUGCAAAUACGAGCAUUUUCUCGUAUCUGGGGAAAUUUCAAUAAGAACGAUACUUUUCUUAGUCCUGAACCUUUAUGUUUAUCACGAUUGAAAGGGUUAAUGCAUCUAUCUGUGUGAAACAGACAAUUUGGUAAUUGUUUAGUGCGAUCUGCCAUGGUUGGAAUGAAAAAUGAAAUUCAAGACAAAACCAAUAUAGAAACGAAAGAAUAUGAAAAAUAUUCCUAUUUUAAUAUGGAGGUUCAAACUCUCCGCAGCAGUCUUCAAGCAUAAAAAUAAA